CUAAGGAUGAUCAUAGAAUUUGAGUUCGCUCAAAUCGUUGAUCACUUAGCAACAGAUCUGUCCUUUGCAGAUCUAUAUCGACAGGUUCUUCGGAACACUGUUCGGACCAGGCCGUCCUCAUAUCUCUUCAGUCCAGUAAAAUCAAAGACAGACCACCGGUCUGGUAAGGGUCGGUAGCUCAGGUGGUUAGAGCGCACGCCUGAUAAGCGUGAGGUCGGAGGUUCAAGUCCUCCUCGACCCACCAAGCCGCAAUUUGCGAAGUCAAAUUGUCGGCAGGCGACAGGGUAUUUUGCGAAGCAAAAUGUCCCGAGAGCCAACGGUUCCACGUGAUGGGAAGCGCAGGUUAUUCGCAUGCGAAUGACCGAGAGCGGCUCACAGGAAUUGGUCUGUAACCUUCUCGGCAGAUUUUGCCUUGCAAAAUCGCCUGUCAGGUAUCCGCGAAUUGAACAAUUCGCUUCAGGGGCCUUAGCUCAGUUGGUAGAGCGCCUGCUUUGCAAGCAGGAUGUCAGGAGUUCGAAUCUCCUAGGCUCCACCAAAGCUUUUUCCGCAGGAAAAAGCGAAACGAGCGGCAGAUUAUUCGCGCAGCGAAUGAUCGAGAGCGACCCCAAGGGAUCAAAUCAGCAAGCACUUUCGAGUGUUUGCUCAUUCGAUCCAAUCGGAUGACCCUAAUUUACAUCGUAUAGAGAGAAUACAAUAAACAACACUGUUGGUGCCACAAGUGGGUGGUUGCCUCAGCGGUUCUUCCUUCGGGAGGCGGUUGGAUUGGGUCCUUUUCCUCGGACCUUCUUCGAUAUCGCUGCUGAAACGAUAGUGUUGUCCAAGUCAAGUACACUAACCAAGGUCUGAGAGAUCAGAUCUUAUGUGCUCUUUGAUCUUGGUGAUUGACCGACAUCAAUCGCCAAAUCGUCCUCAAGUAGCCGCAAGGCGGUAGGACACUCAAAGAGCGCGGGAAAGUAUGCUUUUGAUCCGGAUUGUCCCGUCAGGGAUAGGAAGUCAGAUGAACAAAAGGUCUGUCUUCUUC
rnacentral:tRNA from 1 species